AACGAACGCUGGCGGCAUGCCUAACACAUGCAAGUCGAACGAGACCUUCGGGUCUAGUGGCGCACGGGUGCGUAACGCGUGGGAACCUGCCCUUAGGUUCGGAAUAACUCCCCGAAAGGGGUGCUAAUACCGGAUAAUGUCUUCGGACCAAAGAUUUAUCGCCUUUGGAUGGGCCCGCGUUUGAUUAGCUAGUUGGUAGGGUAAAAGCCUACCAAGGCGACGAUCCAUAGCUGGUCUGAGAGGAUGAUCAGCCACACUGGGACUGAGACACGGCCCAGACUCCUACGGGAGGCAGCAGUGGGGAAUAUUGGACAAUGGGCGAAAGCCUGAGCCAGCAAUGCCGCGUGAGUGAUGAAGGCCUUAGGGUUGUAAAGCUCUUUUACCCGGGAUGAUAAUGACAGUACCGGGAGAAUAAGCGCCGGCUAACUCCGUG
rnacentral:rRNA from 1 species